UUGGGGAUGGGGAUAUUUUAUUGUUUUUACUGGAACAAACUGAGAGUGAGGUGGCUCAGCCUGCAUGUGAAGCUCUGUAACAUGCUUUUAAGGGGGAAAAAGUAUUUUAUUUGUUUUUAUCCAAAUUUUAAUUGGGGAUAUUUUACUGUUUUUAUCCAAAUUUUAAUUGGGGAUAUUUUACUGUUUUUAUCCAAAUUUUAAUUGGGGAUAUUUUACUGUUUUUAUCCAAAUUUUAAUUGGGGAUAUUUUAUUGUUUUUACUGGAACAAACUGAGAGUGAGGUGGCUCAGUCUGCAUGUGAAGCUCUGUAACAUGCUUUUAAGGGGAAAAAAGUAUUUUAUUUGUUUUUAUCCAAAUUUUAAUUGGGAAUAUUUUACUGUUUUUUAUCCAAAUUUUAAUUGGGGAUAUUUUAUUGUUUUUACUGGAACAAACUGAGAGUGAGGUGGCUCAAGUCUGCAUGUGAAGCUCUGUUACAUGCUGCUUAGGGGAAAAAAGUAUUUUGUUUGUUUUUAUCCAAAUUUUAAUUGGGGAUAUUUUACUGUUUUAUCCAAAUUUUAAUUGGGGAUUUUUUACUGGAACAAACUGAGAGUGAGGUGGCUCAGUCUGCAUGUGAAGCUCUGUAACAUGCUUUUAAGGGGAAAAAAGUAUUUUAUUUGUUUUUAUCCAAAUUUUAAUUGGGAAUAUUUUACUGUUUUCAUCCAAAUUUUAAUUGGGGAUAUUUUUCUGCAUUUAUCCAAAUUUUAAUCGGAUAUUUUACUGUUUUUAUCUAAAUUUUAAUUAGGGAUAUUUUACUGUUUUUAUCUAAAUUUUAAUUGGAGAUAUUUUACUGUUUUUAUCCUAAUUUAUAAGUUGAGGCAGGUCAUUUAAUGAUUAUUUGGGAAAUGAGGGACUUUUACAUUAUUUUAUCCAUUUGGGUGUGGGGGACAAAGGGAAUAUUUUACUUUUUAAGACCAAAUUUUAAUUUAUACAGGAGACCUCUUUUUUUUUAUCUUUUUUUAGUUAAAUGUUGAGCCCCCAAGUCAAAUCAAAGACUUAAAAACUGGUACUCCAAAAGGAAAAGAUAGGUGACCUACUGUGGGCAUUUGUCUUGGUGAACUAGCACCUUAAAGUCCAGCUAACCCACAGGCCGGCUGGCUAGUACAAGCAGACAGGUAUUUUUAAUACCAUUUGGCAUUUUUAAACUUUGGCAUUUUUCAUUUGGCUUUUUGUUUUAUGUGUUUUUUGAACUAUUUGGAUUUAUACCAUUUGGCAAUUUUCAUUUAUGUUUUUUUCAUUUUUUUCAACAUAUUUUGUAAUCAACACACCAAAAACACUUCAAAAUUAAGAGUGGGAUAUAUACUUUUUGGCCUCCAUAAUGUUUAUCAAUCAAAACAGCAUUCUAUUUUCAAAUUUACAUUACACAAUUUGGCUUUCUGCAACGUUGGCUGUUAAUCUUUUGUACGAAUGCUAUGAUGACCAUUAUGUGUAGAAAAUAAGACUACAUUUCUAAAAGUGGCUCAAGUUCAUAUAUUUAUGUUUGAUAUCAAUCAGUUCUAAAUUUCAUUCACAUUUCUAAAAUUUUAAGAUCUUCCAUAUCUGGUACAUCUUAUAAAAUCGUAUUCAUCUACUAACCCAAUUUUCUCAUAGGGACUUAACACGAAGCAGAAGGGGUAUUAGGUGGUAGGUGGUUAAGGGUGUUAUGAUAGGGUGAAAGGGUGAGAAAGGGAGGGAGAAAAAUAGAAUGAUGGAGAGGGUGAGGGUAUAUGAUUGUGAGUGGAAUAUAGAGAGGGGGUUAAUCUGUGAGAGAAUGUGAUUUCAUAGUAAGGGCAGGGUGUACUGGUCUGGAAGUAUAGUUUCUGUUUUGUCUCAUGUAGUUUCUGUUUUCUACAUCAAUCUGAUAAGUUUAAAUAUUGAGAAAUUGCUGUCGUCUAAAAGUUCACAGGUUAACAGCCUUU